rnacentral:misc_RNA from 1 species
UGGUUCUGGCAUCGAUGAAGAACGCAGCGAAAUGCGAUAAGUAAUGUGAAUUGCAGAAUUCAGUGAAUCAUCGAAUCUUUGAACGCACAUUGCGCCCACCAGUAUUCUGAUGGGCAUGCCUGUUCGAGCGUCAUUUCAACCCUUAAGCCUAGCUUACUGUUGGGAACCUACCCUGGAGCUACCCUGUAGCUACCCUGUAGUUCCUCAAAUUUACCGGCGGAGACGUGGUAUCCUCUGAGCGUAGUAGCUUUCUCUCUCGCUUCUGUAGGUGCUGCGGCCCUUGCCGUAAAACCCCCAAAUUCUAAUGGUUGACCUCGGAUCAGGUAGGAAUACCCGCUGA